GGCCGGUUAGCUCAGUCAGUUGAGCGUAGCGCUAACAACGCUAACGAUGCUAAGGUUGUGGGUUUGAUUCCCGUUCAGUCCC
rnacentral:tRNA from 1 species